GCAGUGUGCGUAAUUCGUUUAACAUUGUUCAACUGAAUAUGCGGUCUGCCAUUACGCACAAGGUAACCCACUGAACCUCCUUCGUGCUGAGGUUAGGGGCUUGUAAUUAUUCCCCUUGAACGAGGAAUCCCAAGUAAGCACGAGUCAUAAGCUCGUGUU
rnacentral:rRNA from 1 species